GGUCUCGCUUUGGCAACUCAUAUACUAAAAUUGGAACAAUACAGAGAAGAUUAGCAUGGCCCUGCACUUAGGCCUUAGAAACUCAAAUUGUAGACUAAAAAUUCUU